UUGAACCAUAGAUGAAGUGACUGAACUCCACCGUAAAACCAGAGGCACUCUUCUUUGGCUCCCUUCUAUAUAGCAUAAAUGCAACAGAUAUUUUCAUGCGUGGUUUGUUAGAGUUUACGUGCCCACCAUGAUGAAUUUGUCUGAGUGACCGUCCCACAUGCCUGAUACAAAUUGCAGGACUAAUGCCAAAAUAUUCUGAAAAGGGCUGGGGAGUAGUAUAUAGGACCGCAGGGAUCCGGAAGCAAAAGCUAAGUGACACUAAAUAAAGGAGACGUAAGAUGGCUGCGUACCUGAUUCCUGUCCCUGGCAG